GUAGGUGGCAAGCGUUGUCCGGAAUUAUUGGGCGUAAAGCGCGCGCAGGCGGUUCUUUAAGUCUGAUGUGAAAGCCCACGGCUCAACCGUGGAGGGUCAUUGGAAACUGGAGAACUUGAGUACAGAAGAGGAAAGCGGAAUUCCACGUGUAGCGGUGAAAUGCGUAGAGAUGAGGAGGAACACCAGUGGCGAAGGCGGCUUUCUGGUCUGUAACUGACGCUGAGGCGCGAAAGCGUGGGGAGCAAACAGGGAUUAGAUACCCUGGUAGUCCACGCCGUAAACGAUGAGUGCUAAGUGUUAGGGGGUUUCCGCCCCCUUAGUGCUGCAGCUAACGCAUUAAGCACUCCGCCUGGGGAUACGGCCGCAAGGCUG
rnacentral:rRNA from 1 species